UCUCUGACAGUCCAGUGGUUAGGACUCUGCACUUUCACUGCAGAGGUUGGGGGUUCGAUCCUUUGUCAGGGAA
rnacentral:tRNA from 1 species